UAUUGGCAAAAAAUGACUUCUAAAAUUAGUGGGUGGGGCAAACCCCAACUGGGUCCGCCCCUGCCCGCAGCCCCUGCUCUCCUCCGCCCCCGCCUCCCCUCUGCCCUCCAUAUCUGGCUCUCUCCGCGCGAGGUCGCCACCGGACGCUGUGGCCCCUGCAAGUUGAUGCCCGAGCUCUCCUCGGCAGCACCGUCGACCUCCUCCUUUCCUCGCGCCACCCUCCUCCCCGCCUCAGUUCUGCGGCGGCAGGGUGCGGGCUAGGUGGAAUCCCCGUCGGCGUUCGACCUAGAGCCGGCGCCGCCCGUCCUCGUCUCCGCCGACCGCCGUCCUGCCGGCUGCUGCUCCGUCGCCCGCCUCCCACCGGCCGGUGCUCCGCUGAAUCGUCCCGAGGCUCUGUCGGCCUCUUAUUCAACUGGAAUAAAUUGGAGGUUGAUUAAAAUUGGCUUCAGUUUUGAUUAUAGAAGGCGGAGAGGUGAAUAUAACUGAAUUAUCUUUGAAAGCUUUUCUCCCGUCAGAUUGGUGACCAUUACUUCAAAUGAAGGCUGAAGGUCCUAUUAGUCAAUUGUUUAUACAGUAAAGCAUCAGGUAUAUUUCUGUUGGUUCAGAAGUGCUCCCAAAAUUAGAGUUUGUGUUGUUUCAUUUCCGUCGAAAAUCUAAUUAUUUGUCAAGCAGGCAGUUUUAGAAAACUCAUCUUGUACCUUCCUAUGAAGACACAAAACUCUACACAAUGUACCUGUUGUGCUUCUUCUUGUUUACUGGUUACAAUCGUAGCUUAAGGCCCUGUUUGUUUGGUCUUUUGCUUCAGUUUUUGGUGCUUCUAGCUCUCUAAAAAGAAGCACCUUCGGACGUGCUUCUCAGCUUCCUGUGUAAACGGAAGAAGUGAUUUUUAGAGAGCUAGAAGCACCAAAAGUUAAAGCAGAAGACCAAACAAACAGGGCCUAAAAUGGUUGUUCAUACCUGAAACCUGCAGGUUUACAUAAGUCUAAAGAAUACUUAUUGAGUAAGAAGGAUCCAUAAAGAUCCAAGAUUCCUACAGAUGCAAUUUUUUUUUGCUAUUAUUGAGUUACAAUGUAAAUUACACAAAUUUUCUACAGAUUUUGCCUCCAUUGGUAUUCCCUACGAGGAGUCAGAACCAUGGUUUGAGGGAGACCCUCGAGACCUACAGCAAUUCGCCAACUUCCUGAGCGGAAUUUGUGGGCUGGAGUUAAUUUGGUAGCAUGAACGGCUGACUCUGACUGCAGAUAUUCCACAAGGAACCAUUUUUCUAUGGCCAUGAUCAACUUGUUAAGAUUGCGAAGUUAAAUGCCCUCCAUAUUUUCUCUUUUUUUUUUUGCCUUUUGAACUCUCAACGCAGAAAGGUUCUUUAUUAUUUUUCUCAACAUCGAUGGAUAUGCCGGAUGGCUUCAGUAGCCAUAGCAACACCUGUGUUUGCUUGAGGUGAAUCAAUAUUACAUGGUGAUUUACACUGAUUGCUCUGUUUCAAUCUUUUGUAGGUAGCUAUGCUGGCUACCAGUAGCCUGAUGGCGGCAUGUUUUUAUCUUCAAGCUGACAUAUCGAUCAUUUCUAGAUUUCCCUAUCCAAAAUCUUAAGCCGUGUUUCAUUUGGUAGUUGUGUUGGUAUGGCUACUGAAGCCCCCAGUAGCAAAAUAAUAUAUCUCAGUUAGCAAACACUAAAACAACAACUCUCUGAUGCAAGACAACAUGACUUACCAGGCAUACCCAAAUCUGUAUAGGAAUUCAUCAAACACUUUUAUGUGUAGUAUAGAGUUUGUUCACCAGUGAUCAGUUGUUAGUAGUGUGCUUUUGAUUUCCGGAAAACAGUCAAGUAGUAGCACACACACUAGACGCAAUACUGAUUGUUCCCUUAAUGUAAGUUCAAGAUUGAGCAGAAUUGAGCACCGUUUUUAUUACCUUUCAAGUUUUCUAUCAAGUCCUGCCAUUGUAAACACAAAAGUAUUUUACUUUGUCAAGACUGAGCAAACUUUAAUUUCACUGGCAUGCACCACUUCAUCGAUACACUGGGCAAACUCUAUUUCAAAUUCUUUCUUUACCUGAAUGUUGCAGACUGGUAAGCCUGUUUCACUGUAUUCUCUCCAUUAACGUUUGGUAGUUGUUCUUUCAGAUUCAUUUCAAUGAAGUUGUUAGCUUAAUCAAACAAGCUGCUGCUGAUGAUUAGUACUCUUGAAACCCCAUAAUUAAUGUUGAUGUUGUAGGGACAGUGCACUGAUGAUCUGCGUGCUCAGAAGCACAAGUAGGAUGAUCUUUUAAUUAGUUUGGAAUUUUACUACUUGCUCUUUAUCUACUUAAUCUUGCUGGUGUUUUCAUUCAUCGAGGGUUAUGGUGGUUCCAUCUAUACAGAAAAUUUACUCGUGACUUAGUAGCAUGGUCAAUACAUGCUCUGUAGCUUCAAAACUUCAGUUUCACAUAGGAGAUUUCCUAUGUUUCAAAAAUAUUGUUUGUAAUUUCUGCUCAUAUAUUAAUUGAAUCCUAGAAGCAAUUUUUUUUGUUUAUAUUUAUGUAACACAUGCUAUAUAUCCUACGUAUAUAUCAAGUUUAUAUCCUUACAA